GGCGCGUCCGCCGCGCCAGAGGGGGCUCCACAGUCUGCGGCCGCCGCAGGAGCGGCGCGGCCCCCUGGGGGGUGGGAAAUAAAAGAAAAAAGUUCUACUCAGCCGACCAUUGAGCCGACCGACCGCCGGCCGACCUGUGCACCGUCACCCCUUCUCCUUACCUGGGUCCCCAGGUCCCUGGAGCGCGCCGGUCCGGUCCGCACUGCAGCCAGCGUGGAGGAGCCCCUCUCCAACCGGCCCGCUCCCCUCCCGCCCUUCCCCGCCCCCCACGGGUGUUGGCCCGGCGGCAGAGCGGGCUCUUCCAGGGUUUCCUUAAGCUCAGCUGGUAAAGCAACCGUCUGAUUGGAAGAUCCCCUGGAGAAGGGAACGGCUACCCACUCUAGUAUUCUGGCCUGGAGAAGUCCAUGGACUAAAGAGUUGGACUAAAUUCCGGAGACUAGAGUUUAAAGCUAAGAAAAUGGAGAGCAGGUAGUUUCAGUGACUUGUGCAAGUGUCUUGGAGCUUGAAGUUGUAAAGCUAAGAAUUUGAUCAUAUUUAUAUUUGUGUGGUUCCCAUACUCAUGUUCCCAUCUCUCUCUCACAUUGCUUCGAUUCCAGUAUCCAGUUUUCUGUAUUCUAGUUCUAGCUCCAUCAUUAGGAAUUGGAGAUAUCUGGGACUUUUUCAGCAGUAACCUGAACAAUGAAAUUGAUUUAUUUCUCCUAAGUGUCCCUUGAGCCAAUAUAGCACACCACCACUACCCCCCUCUCCCUACCUCGCCACAAGGCUAUCUGCCUAAGAGAAGAGACCUCCCUCUCCAAAUCUCUCUACCGAAAAGUUCCAGCUGGCUCAGCUUCAUCCAAAACUCAAGGGAUCUGUCUGAAGCCAGCCAGUGUGAAGUGAAGAUGCAGGGAACUUUCUGUCCAUUCAGGCUGCUACAGCCAACCAUGUUGCCCCCUCCAUUAAGGAAAUCCUGUGGGUGGUACCAGGGAGGAGUUAGGAACUCCCCAGUCCAGUCUCCCUAGAAGACUCUUUGAAGCUGAGAACAGUAGCAAAUCUGCAUUUGGGUUGGCUAGUCGUCCUUUACAGUUUUAGAAAUUGGCAUCCCUGAUCCUUUUCCUGAUUCUCAAAACUUCAGAGGCCAAGCCAUUAGCACGGUGAGGGGAGAUGACCCACAGCAUGCGUAAUACAAGCUAUUCCACCAUCCCCUUCCUCUGUUAAGUACACGUUUCAUCACUUACCCUGAUCAAGAGGUACAUUCAGUCUUGGAAAACACUUCUUAGAAGCCAGCAUAUUUGGAGGUUUAAGGGAGAUGUUUUGAAGGACCACUUGCAUGCUGAAGGAAAGUAACUAGAAUUCCACCCCCUCCCUUUCCUUUUGUUGGCAUCAGUACUCAAAAAAGUCUCAACUCUCUAUGCACCUGAAAGCGAUGACAGUGUUCAAUAUCAGAACAGUUAAGACAAUAUCUGCUCUUUGCACACCUCCAUCAUCGAGGAGCAAGCUAUUUCACAUGCCUUCUUCCCCAUCCUAUGACACUCGAACUGCCUGGAGAACCAGAUGACAGGCUUUCCUAUGCCUCGCCAGAUGAAAGGCACAUUUGGGAGAAUCGGGACCUAGAGGGUCACCCGGGAGUGUCUUGAGUGUCUUCAUGGUAAGGAUCUAAGCAAAGACAAGGAAGUCAGAGCAAGCACAUGUUAGGGGCUGAGGCUGAAGCAGUAGGGUGGGGUGGGACUCAGGACACCAGCGUGCUUUAGUUUAGCAGAAGCUACAUAGAAAAGAAUCGGAACUGUGGAUCAUGGGGAGAAAAUAAUAAAUAAUAAUAAUAAAAGAGGAGUGCUUCAAGAUAGCUGUGUGAGUUUGGCCUUGAUCUUGUCGUUGAUGGACGGUUGUCUACAUCUGAGGGCAGAGAGACCUCAAGCACAAAUUCAUUGGGAGGGGGUGAUCUAGUGG
rnacentral:lncRNA from 1 species